GAUGAAGAACGCAGCGAAAUGCGAUACUUGGUGUGAAUUGCAGAAUCCCGUGAACCAUCGAGUCUUUGAACGCAAGUUGCGCCCCAAGCCGUUAGGCCGAGGGCACGCCUGCCUGGGUGUCACGCAUCGUUGCCCCCCCAUCUACUCCUUCGGGAUUGCGGGGGGCGGAUGAUGGCCUCCCGUGCGCCUCGUCGCGCGGUUGGCAUAAAUGCCAAGUCCUCGGCGACGCACGCCACGACAAUCGGUGGUUGCGAAACCUCGGUUGCCCGUCGUGUGCGGUCGUCGCGCAUCGAGGGCUCGAAAAAAUUGCCGGGCUCCGGCUCGGCUUUCAACGCGACCCCAGGUCAGGCGGGGUUACCCGCUGAAUUUAAGCAUAUCAAUAAGCGGAGGA
rnacentral:misc_RNA from 1 species